CCUAACCAUGCAAGUCGAGCGGAUGAAGGGAGCUUGCUCCUGGAUUCAGCGGCGGACGGGUGAGUAAUGCCUAGGAAUCUGCCUGGUAGUGGGGGAUAACGUCCGGAAACGGGCGCUAAUACCGCAUACGUCCUGAGGGAGAAAGUGGGGGAUCUUCGGACCUCACGCUAUCAGAUGAGCCUAGGUCGGAUUAACCUAGUUGGUGGGGUAAAGGCCUACCAGGGCGACGAUCCGUAACUGGUCUGAAAGGAUGAUCAGUCACACUGGAACUGAGACACGGCCCAAACUCCUACGGGAGGCAGCAGUGGGGAAUAUUGGACAAUGGGCAAAAGCCUGAUCCAGCCAUGCCGCGUGUGUGAAAAAGGUCUUCGGAUUGUAAACCACUUUAAGUUGGGAGGAAGGGCAGUAAGUUAAUACCUUUGCUGUUUUGACGUUACCAAACAGAAUAUGCACCGGCUUCAUCUUUCGUGCCAACAACCCAGCGGUAAUAACUAAAAU
rnacentral:rRNA from 1 species